rnacentral:rRNA from 1 species
GAUGAACGCUGGCGGCGUGCCUAAUACAUGCAAGUCGAGCGAAUGGAUUAAGAGCUUGCUCUUAUGAAGUUAGCGGCGGACGGGUGAGUAACACGUGGGUAACCUGCCCAUAAGACUGGGAUAACUCCGGGAAACCGGGGCUAAUACCGGAUAACAUUUUGAACCGCAUGGUUCGAAAUUGAAAGGCGGCUUCGGCUGGCACUUAUGGAUGGACCCGCGUCGCAUUAGCGAGUUGGUGAGGUAACGGCUCACCAAGGCAACGAUGCGUAGCCGACCUGAGAGGGUGAUCGGCCACACUGGGACUGAGACACGGCCCAGACUCCUACGGGAGGCAGCAGUAGGGAAUCUUCCGCAAUGGACGAAAGUCUGACGGAGCGACGCCGCGUGAGUGAUGAAGGCUUUCGGGUCGUAAAACUCUGUUGUUAGGGAAGAACAAGUGCUAGUUGAAUAAGCUGGCACCUUGACGGUACCUAACCAGAAAGCCACGGCUAACUACGUGCCAGCAGCCGCCGUAA